CUACGGGAUGCUGCAGUGGGGAAUAUUGCACAAUGGGCGCAAGCCUGAUGCAGCCAUGCCGCGUGUAUGAAGAAGGCCUUCGGGUUGUAAAGUACUUUCAGCGGGGAGGAAGGGAGUAAAGUUAAUACCUUUGCUCAUUGACGUUACCCGCAGAAGAAGCACCGGCUAACUCCGUGCCAGCAGCCGCGGUAAUACGGAGGGUGCAAGCGUUAAUCGGAAUUACUGGGCGUAAAGCGCACGCAGGCGGGUUGUUAAGUCAGAUGUGAAAUCCCCGGGCUCAACCUGGGAACUGCAUCUGAUACUGGCAAGCUUGAGUCUCGUAGAGGGGGGUAGAAUUCCAGGUGUAGCGGUGAGAUGCGUAGAGAUCUGGAGGAAUACCGGUGGCGAAGGCGGCCCCCUGGACGAAGACUGACGCUCAGGUGCGAAAGCGUGGGGAGCAAACAGGAUUAGAUACCCGCGUAGUC
rnacentral:rRNA from 1 species